UCCCUGGUGGCUCAGUGGUAAAGAAUCUGCCUGCAGUGCAGGAGACGCGGGUUUAAUUCUUGAUCCGGGAA
rnacentral:tRNA from 1 species